rnacentral:rRNA from 1 species
GACGAACGCUGGCGGCGUGCCUAAUACAUGCAAGUAGAACGCUGAAGGAGGAGCUUGCUUCUUCGGAUGAGUUGCGAACGGGUGAGUAACGCGUAGGUAACCUGCCUGGUAGCGGGGGAUAACUAUUGGAAACGAUAGCUAAUACCGCAUAACAGUAGAUAUCGCAUGAUAUCUGCUUGAAAGGUGCAAUUGCAUCACUACCAGAUGGACCUGCGUUGUAUUAGCUAGUUGGUGAGGUAACGGCUCACCAAGGCGACGAUACAUAGCCGACCUGAGAGGGUGAUCGGCCACACUGGGACUGAGACACGGCCCAGACUCCUACGGGAGGCAGCAGUAGGGAAUCUUCGGCAAUGGACGGAAGUCUGACCGAGCAACGCCGCGUGAGUGAAGAAGGUUUUCGGAUCGUAAAGCUCUGUUGUAAGAGAAGAACGAGUGUGAGAGUGGAAAGUUCACACUGUGACGGUAUCUUACCAGAAAGGGACGGCUAACUACGUG